CCCUUAGAUGUUCUGGGCUGCACGCGCGCUACACUGACACACCCAACGAGUCUCCUGCCCUGACAGGGUUGGGCAAUCAUUGGAGUGUGUGUCGUGAUGGGGAUAGAGUGUUGCAAUUAUUGCUCUUGAACGAGGAAUUCCUAGUAAGCACAAGUCAGCAGCUUGUGCUGAUUACGUCCCUGCCCUUUGUACACACCGCCCGUCGCUCCUACCGAGGGGGUGAUCCGGUGAAUGAUUCGGACUUUGGCGUUUCUAGCUGCUAGCAGCGCUGGAGAAAGUUUUGUGAACCUUAUCACUUGGAGGAAGGAGAAGUCGUAACA
rnacentral:rRNA from 1 species